UACGUAAGGGGCAAGCGUUGUCCGGAUUUAUUGGGCGUAAAGCGCGUGUAGGCGGCCCUGCAAGUCGGAUGUGAAAUCCCACGGCUCAACCGUGGAAGUGCAUUCGAAACUGCAGGGCUAGAGUCCUGGAGAGGAAGGUGGAAUGCUUGGUGUAGAGGUGAAAUUCGUAGAUAUCAAGCGGAACACCGGUGGCGAAGGCGGCCUUCUGGACAGUGACUGACGCUGAGACGCGAAAGCGUGGGGAGCAAACAGG
rnacentral:rRNA from 1 species